UAUUUCAAAGUGAGGUAUAUAAAAUUAAACAUAGUUUAUAAGCAUUGAAAAUGAAACGUAAAAAAUAGAAUCCAUAGAAAAAUAUUUGCAUCGUACACAAUCGUGUUCCUUGUAAUAUUAAGAGUAAAUAUCUGUCUAUCGUUGAUACGGCCCUGAUUGCAUCUCUGCAUCUUAUUGGACGUGGACUGGUGCAUAUACGAGCAAUGUCCUGUGGCGUGCACACACCGUUGAAAUCUAUCGGCGCGUGUGUUCGCUAAAGAGUGGGAGAAUCCGAUUAUAACCGAACAUUACCGGAUGUGCCCGACACGAAAUAGUCGACAAUUGACGAGGCGUCGAGAAACCCAGAAGGGAGGAGACAAGCUAUUCUCUUGGGUAGAUGGAUGGUCCAGGCACGAUUUCAUGGGAUGAAUUUCUUGCAAGUGCUGAAAAUUUUAUCAUAGUCUCUGAUCAGAUUUCUGAUGGGUGGCAAUUGUGUGGAAACAAAAUAUAUCACACGUGAAACAGUAUUUCUAUAAAUUUUUUUUCUGUAAUUACUCCAUUCGGUAAAACAGAACAUGGUCGAUAAAAUGUGAAAAUUAUAAUUUAAAGCAUUGUAAAUAAUUAUUAUAGUUAUUGUA